UAAUUAAAAGAGAUAAGUAAAAAGAAUAACAGUUUCAGUUUUUUUAAAGAAAAAUCUAUUCACUUCUGAUUAUACAACGUCAAUUCGAAUGUAAAUUUAUCUAAGGAGACCAGUUUCAUUUAACGUCAUUCAUAUGAGUGACAGUAGCAAUCAGUUAACUAUCAGUAUGCUAAAAUAAUUUCGCAUUAAUCUUCGGAACACAUUUAACCCUGGCUUUUAAAGGGUUUUAUGAGCUGUGGGUUCCACAAAAAACUAAAAUUCACCCUUUUUUUCUCUUUUGCAAGAGGCGAAUUUGGUAGAGCUUUUGUACUAUUUGCGGGCCCCAAUGACACGUGGCGACCCGCGAUUAGUUCGUUUUUAAUAUAUAUAUUUUUCAAAUCGAAAAAAAAAAGAAAAAGAAAAAAAUCUAAGAACCCACGCCCCCAAGUAAUUAAAAGAGAUAAGUAAAAAGAAUAACAGUUUCAGUUUUUUUAAAGAAAAAUCUAUUCACUUCUGAUUAUACAACGUCAAUUCGAAUGUAAAUUUAUCUAAGGAGACCAGUUUCAUUUAACGUCAUUCAUAUGAGUGACAGUAGCAAUCAGUUAACUAUCAGUAUGCUAAAAUAAUUUCGCAUUAAUCUUCGGAACACAUUUAACCCUGGCUUUUAAAGGGUUUUAUGAGCUGUGGGUUCCACAAAAAACUAAAAUUCACCCUUUUUUUCUCUUUUGCAAGAGGCGAAUUUGGUAGAGCUUUUGUACUGUUUGCGGGCCCCAAUGACACGUGGCGACCCGCGAUUAGUUCGUUUUUAAUAUAUAUAUUUUUCAAAUCGAAAAAAAAAAAAAAAAAAAAAAAUCUAAGAACCCACGCCCCCCCCCCCCUCUCUUCCCCUAGCGUUAAUCAUGCUCUACGUAUAUCUUUCUACGUAUAUCGAUGCCUCUCUCUACCGCCAUUGGCAGGCCGACAAAGAAAACGCUAUUGGUAGAAGAGAAACUGGGUCCACUGGACGAAAAACUAAAUAUUUUUCCAACGUGGGACCUUAGCAAGUCUGUAAAAAAUUAUAAAAGUAAGUCUUUCUAUCGUGUCUUGAGGGGCAAAUGUAAGGACCAAAUUAGUUUUGACACGGUCGACAUCAUCAAUAAUAAUGUUGUAAUUAGUGAAAGAUGCCUAUAUAGAUGAAGUCUUCUCUUCACAUCUAGUCUUUACGGUUUCGGCAAGACAUAUCUUUAGCUAAUUAAUGGCUAAUACACUCUUGUAUUUUGUAUUGAUGACCGUGUUUCUAUUGUUCAGUGUGUUCAAAAUCUGGUGGGAAACUGCUAACAAACGGCGAGCUUACACGACAAAGGAAUGGCUCGAUAAAGCUUUUGAAUCAGGAGCUGCGUUACUUAAUUCGUAUCGGGUUCGAUGAAAAUCAAGAGUACUUUGAAUCGUAUUUUCUGCUAUAGAAGACUAAUACGUCAAGUUCACAUAUAUUAUAUAUGGUCUUCUCAAUGUCUAUACGUAAAGAUAGAACAGUUAUGUAAUUAAAUACAUUUUAUACAUCCUACGCCGUUAAUUGUUUUUUUUUCUGUUUAAACACGCUUUAGUAAGAUACUAAGACCAUAAUUAAUUAACCGGAGUUCUUAGAGUGAAGUUCUUAGCGUACUUAAUUCGUAUCAGGAGCUGUACUUAAUUCGUAUCGGGUUCGAUGAAAAUCAAGAGUACUUUGAAUCGUAUUUUCUGCUAUAGAAGACUAAUACGUCAAGUUCACAUAUAUUAUAUAUGGUCUUCUCAAUGUCUAUACGUAAAGAUAGAACAGUUAUGUAAUUAAAUACAUUUUAUACAUCCUACGCCGUUAAUUGUU